AAAAUGAAACCAUAAGUCCAUGGACACACAGGAGACAGAUGAAUUUCCGGCAAGUAUAUCCCAAAUACAGCAGACAAAUAUUAGAUAAUAUCACUGAUAUGGUUUGGCUAUGUCCCCAUACAAAUCUCUUCUUGAAUUGUAGCUCCCCUAACCUCACAUGUCAUGGGAGGGACCUGGUUGGAAGGUAAUUGAAUCAUGGGGCGGAUUUUUCCUGGGCUGUUCUUGUGACAGUGAAUAAGUCUCAAGAGAUCUGAUGGUCUUAUAAAGGGCAGUUCCCCUGCACAUGCUCUCUUGCCUGCCUCCAUGUAAGACAUGCCUUUGCUCCUCCUUCACCUUCUGCCAUGAUUGUGAGGCCUCUACAGUCAUGUGGAACUGUGAGUCUAUUAAACCUCUUUCCUUUAUAAAUUACCCAGUCUAUGGUAUGACUUUAUUAGCAGCACAAGAACGGACUAAUAUAAUCAUCUAUAUGUGGAAUCUAAACAUGUUAAAUGUGGUGAGUACAGCAUGGUAAAUACAGUUAGCAGUAAUGUAUGGCAAAUGGUAAUUAUAGUUAAUAAUAAUGUAUGAUAAACUUGUAAUUUGCUAAGAGAGUAACUUGCAAGUAUUCUUACCACACAUACAUACUUGGUAGCUACAUAAAAUGAUGGAUACAUACAUUAGUUUGAUUGUAGGAAUCAUUACAAGAGGUAAUAUGUACUUCUAUCAGAACACCAUGUCGUAUACCUUAAAUACAUGUAUUUUUUUAUUUGUCAACUGUACCUCAAUAAAGCAGGGAGGGGCAAAACAUGGGCAUGUCCUGUGUUAUUAUGGUUCAUUUUAUUGCACUCCACAAAUAUUGUGAUUUUUACAAAUUGAAAGUUGUGGCAACCCUGUAAUGAGCAAGUCUGUCCACGCCAGAGUUUUCUUUCUUUUUUUUUUUCUUUUUGAGAUGGAGUCUUGCUUCUCUGACCAGGCUGAGUGCAGUGGCGUAAUCUUGGCUCACUGUAACCUCCGCCUCCCAGGUUCAAGCAAUUCUCCUGCCCCAGCCUCCCCAGUAGCUGGGAUUAUAGGCAUGUGCCACCACGCCUGGCUAAUUUUUGUAUUUUUAGUAGAGACAUUUCACCAUGUUGGCCAGGCUGGUAUCAAACUCCUGAUCUCAAGUGAUCCACCCACCUCGGCCUCCCAAAGUGCUGGGAUUACAGGCAUGAGCCACUGCUCCCGGCCAUCUCUGUCCAUGCCAGUGUUUUCAACGCCAUGUGCUCGCUUUGUGUUUCUGUACCACAUUUUGGUAAUUCUCACAAUAUUUCAUACUUUUUCAUUAUUAUUAUAUCUGUUAUGGGGAUCUGUGAUGCUGCUAUUGUAAUUUUUGGGGGGUUGACACAAACUGUGCCCAUAUAAGAUGGGGAAAUUAAUCGAUAAAUAUUGUGUGCGUUCUGACUGCUCUACCAACCGAUGGUUCCCCCAUCUCUCUCCCUCUCCUCAGGCCUCUCUAAUCCUUGAGACACAACAGUAUGGAAAUUAGGUAGAUUAAUAACCCUAAAAUGGCCUUUAAGUCUUCAAGUUAAAGGAAGAGUCACACAUCUCUUACUUUAAAUCAAAAGCUAAAAAUGAUUAAGCUUAGUAAGGAAGGCAUGUUAAAAGCUGAGACGGGCCAAAAGUUAUUCUCCUUGUGCCAAACAGUGAAGUUGUGAAUGCAAAGAAAAAGUUUUUGAAGGAAAUUAAAAAUGCUAUUCCAGUGAACAAAUGAUAAGAAAAUAAAACAAUCUUCUUGCUGGUAUGGAGAAAGUUUGAGUGGUCUGGAUGGAAAAUGAAACCAGCCCCAAUGUUUCCUGAAGCCAAAGCCUAAUCCAGAGGAAAGUCCCAACUCUCUUCAAUUCCAUUAAGGCUGAAAAAAGUAAGGAAGCUGCAGAAGAAAGAUUGAAGCUAGCAGAGAUUUUUUCUUGAGGUUUGAGGAAAGGAGCUAGCUCCAUAACAUAAAAAAGCAAUGUAAAGCAGCAAGUGCUGACAGAGAAGUUGCAGCAAGUUAUCCAGAUCUAGGUAAGCUGAUUGAUGAAGGUGGCUCACUAAAGAAAAGAUUUUCAUUGUAAACAAAGCAGCUGUCUAUUGGAAAACAAUGCCAUCUAGGACUUUCAUAAGGAGAAGUCAAUUCCUGGCUUCAAAGAUUCAAAGAACAGGCUGAGGCUCUUGUUACGGACUAAUACAGCUGGUGAGUUUAAAUUGAAGCCAAUGCUCAUUUAUCAUUCCAAAAGUCCUAGGACUCUUAAGAAUUAUGCUAAAUCUACUCUGCCUGUGCUCUAGAAAUGGAUCACAAAGCCUGGAUAAUGACACAUCUGUUUACAGCAUGGUUUACUGAAUCUUCUAAGCCAACUAUUGAGACCUCUUGCUCAGAAAAAAAGAUCCUUUUUAAAACAUUACUGCUCAUUGACAAUACAACUGGUCACCCAAGACCUCUGAUAGAGAUGUACAAGGAGAUUAAUCUUGUUUUCAUAACUGCUAACACAAUAUCUAUUUGGCAGCUCAUGAUUCAAAGAGCAAUUUUGAUCUUCCAGUCUUGUUAAGAAAUAUGUUUUGUAAGGCUUUAUCUGCUAUAGAUAGUGAUUCCUCUAAUGGAUCUAGGUAAAGUAAAUUGAAAACCUUCUGGAAAAGAUUCACAAUGCUAGAUGCCAUUAAAAACAUUCAUAAUUCACAGGAGGAGGUAAAAAUAUCAACAUGAACAGGAGAUUGAAAGAAGUUGAUUCCAACCCUCAUGAAUGACUUUGGGGGGUUUAAGACUUUAUUGGAAGAAGUCAGUGCAGAUAUAGUGGAAAUAGCAAGAGAACUAGAAUUAAAAGUGAAGCCUAAAGGUGUGACUGAAUUGCUGCAAUCUCUUGAUAAAACUUUAAGGUUGAGGAGUUGCUUCUUAUGAAUAACCAAAGAAACUGGUUUCUUGAGAUGGAAUCUACUGCAGAAGAUGCAGUGAACAUUAUUAAAUGACAAUAAAAAAUUUAGAAUAUUACAUAACUUAGUUGUUAAAGCCGUGGCAGGAUUUCAGAGGAUUGACACCAACUGUUUUUUUUUUUUUUUAGAAAAAAAAAAAACAAGAGAUGUAUUCAAACUACAAAUACUCUACUUGAAGGAAAAACUAUCUAGGAUUCUUUUUUUUUUUUUUUAGAGUAACGUAUCCGUACUUAAAGACACAUGGCCCUACAUAUAACAGCUAGGUACAAAACCAGUUGUAAAAUUGUUAUUGGUUUUACAGUGAUAAAUGUAAAACUAAAAAGACGGUAUGACUCAUUUUGCUGGGAUAUACACUUUAUUGCAGUGACCUGGGACUGAACCCACAAUACUGCUGAACUAUGUCUGUGUGUCACAGGAGCACUCAGAUCUGGAACAGAUGGAUCAGAGACACUGGGGUUUUCUUUCUACUGUACAGCUGCCAAAGAGUGGGUGGGUGUGGUUAGUUGUUUUCUCAGACUGCUUGGUUCUUGAGUGUAUGAUGGUCCUCCCAGAAAUUCUGUAGAUGACCAAGGAUCUUUUAACAAAGACUUGUCUGCUAAAACUACCUGGAGAAGAUUCUCUUGUCUGCCACUAAGAAACCUGAUUGAUACAACUGGCUACCUGAGUCUUGUAUUACAGUCUUUUCUCCAUAAGCCACUGUAGAUAAUGCACCAUUGGUUUCCAAUUUUUAAAAGCUGUAGAGAAGUCAUGUGAGGAAUUUUCUUUUUUAUUUGCUAUUUUAUUUUUAUUUCCUCUUUGAUUCUUGUAAAAGUUUGUUUCUCUCUCCUUGAAAUAAAAAUGCCACCAAAAAUAUAUAUUUCUUACAUAUUUUUAUUUAAUUUGAUCCCAUUUAUUAUAAGCUCUUUAGAAAUAAUUUCUCCUCUUAGAUUUAAUUUCUCCUCUGUCUUUAAAAAGCAAAAUAACUUUAUUAUUUUUUCAUUAUUAUUAUUAUUAUUUCAUUUUUUUGAGACAGAGUUUCCCUCUUGUCACCCAGCCUGGAGUGCAACGGCAUGAUGUCGGCUCACUGCAACCUCUGCCUCCCAGGUUCAAGCGAUUCUCCUGCCUCAGCCUCCCCAGCAGCUGGGAUUACAGGCGCCUGCCAUCACACCCGGCUGAUUUUCGUAUUUUUAGUAGAGAUGGGAUUUCACCAUGUCAGCCAGGGUGGUCUCGAACUCCUGACCUCAGGUGAUCCGCCUGCCUAGGCCUCCCAAAGUGCUGGGAUUACAGGACCUCUUUUUAUCCUGACCAGUCAUCCUUGAAUUUGGAGUUGUCCAUGAAGUUCUUCUACUGCCCAGAAAGAGGGUGCACACUUCCUUAGUUCCCAUCAGCGUGGUGGGAAAGAUUCCUACAGAGGCUGAAGAAACAACGUUCCGGUGCUUUUUAAUGCUUAUCAGUGCAGAUCUUUCAGCUGGGGAGCAAUCUGUUCUUCCCACUACAAUAAAAAAUAUGGAGUUUCUUUGAUAAAAAA